UUGUUAAGAAUUGGAGUUCCAUCAAUAUCUUCUUUGUGUCCAUCAUACUUUUGCUAGUGUGCCCUUUCAUAAAGAUUUGCUGAGAUUUUUCUUCGCUUAUUUAAUUGAUACAUGCAUAUCAGCAUAUGUUAGUCAAAUGACUUGAGAUUAGCAGAUAUAAUUAUUAUUUUUAAAUAGAAAAGAAUUAUCUGUCAGAAAUUAUUAUUUUAAGUGAUAAAAUCGAAUCAAGAUUUGGGUUUAUUAUAAAAACAAAAUAAUUAUGAUAAAAUAUUCAUCCACAAAACAUCUUCCUCGGGUGAAGUAGUGAAUAUGAAUUUUAAGAAAAGUUUUUUAUAAGGGGGAAUUCUAAGAAAAGUUUUUUUGUUUUUUUUAAUAAGUGGGAAAUUUUUUAUAAAAAAAAUUAUGCAUUUGAUAAAACAUCAUACUCAAUGAGGUGGACAUGGAUUAAUUUAAAAGAAAGUUAGUUGUGUAUUUUGUGAGUGAAAAAAGAGUCCAACAAAUUAGAAAAAAUUAUACUCCCUUUGUUUCAAUAAUAGUGUCCCAUAACUUUUAGGCACAAAGAUUAAGAAAUAUGUAAAAAAUAGAUAAAGUGGAUUGGUGAAAAUUAUUUAAAUAUUAAGUAUAGAGAGAGAAUAUAUUGCCAAAAAAAAAUGAGACAUUUGUAUUGAGACGUCUCAUUAAGAAAAAUGAGACAUAACUAUUAGGACGGAGGGAGUAAUAGCUAAUGAGUUUAUGUGUGAAUCCACUAAUAACAAUAUGUAUAAAUAUGUGAGAAUUUUAAGAGUGAUAUUUAGUAAAAUAUGUUUAAUAUGAAGAUGUUUUGUGGACAAACACAAAUGAAAAAUUAAGAAGAUGUUUUGUAGACGAAGAAGUAUAAAAAUAAAAAAUCACUCACUUUCAAUCUAUUAUUAUUCUCAGCCCAAAUCCACCUACAGGAAACACGCUCAUGAUGCCAAAGCAAAAUCUGUGUGUGCGUUCAGAGCAUCUGCAGUGCAGCCUCUUCGCCCCGAGUCGAUGCGCGUCGUCGGCGACGCGUCCGCGCUGGAGACACGGGCGAGGUCGAGGCCGCGUCUUCCUGGCGCCUCGGGUCGAAGGGCGAUUUUGGUGCUGGACGUACGCUACACGCGCAGAUUUCACAGUCACACAUAAAAUGGUUCAUAUUUUUAAAAAGAAAAAAAUGAUUGCAAAGUUUUUUUUUAUUUUUCUUUUAAUUUCUAAAAUUCUAUUAUUUUUAAUUCUUUUAGUUUUUUUAUUUAAUUUUAAAUUUUUAUAUUUUAUUUUAAUUAUUGCAAUGUUUGAAUUGUAUUUUUAAUGAAAAUUUGGAAUUUUAAAAUAAGGGAAAAUGUGCAAAUAGACCCUUGAAGUAGUAGCUCUUAUAGCGUAUAGCUCUCCUUACUCACUGUGUGUGUAAAUAGGCCCCCGAAGUCUUAAAAAUCGCUCAAUUAAACCCCUCUGACCAAACGCCGUUUACUUCCGUAAGUCAACCUUUUUUUUUAAUUAAAUAUGGGGCCCACCUUCACCAUUCUCUCAAUCUCUCUCUCGGACAGCCUUCCCUCUCGUCGGAACAAGGAUUCCUCUUCCCCGUCGGCCAGUCGGCCCAUCUCCGGUGAAAUCGCCGCCGGCGUAUCGCCUCUGGUCCUUGCCUCUCACCCCCUUGCCAAUCAUCCUCGUCGAUUUCAGCCCAGAAAAGAUGGAGAAAUCAUCCGAGUUUGAAGAAGAGCGUGAGCUGCAAGAGAUUAGUGGAUUUGGAGCUAGAAGAAGUGAAGGGAUUCAUGGAUUUAGGGUUCAUUUUCAAAAGAGAGAACUUGACGAAGCGAAUUAUACACUUGGUUCCUAGCCUGCAGAGGAUUGGGUCGUUGGAACAUCACAGCGGCAAGGACAUAAUCAGACCCUAUUUGUCGGAGGCCUGGGCUGUAAGAAGCCAUAAGUCGCCAUUGCUGAAUUUGAGGAUUCCGGCAGCUUCCACAGCUACAGAUAUGAAGAUCCAUUUGAAGUACUGGGCUCGCACAGUUGCAUCAGCCAUACACCAACAUUAAUUCAUCUCCAUCGAUUAAUAUAAGAUUUUAUUCUAUUUUUGUUGUUGGUUUAGAUGAGAUUGAUGAAGUGAGAGGAGGAGAACCACUUGUUUUGUGGAGAUUGAGAGUAAACCACCAGUAGCUCGAUGCUCAAGAUGCCCCAACAUGUGGAUUCCGCUCGUUUAGUUUGGGAGUCUAACAAGCGAGGGGCAGAGGCGAUCCGCCGGAAAUGGGCCGACAUGCCGACGGGGAAGAGGAAUCCUUGUUCCGGCGAGACGAGGAGGCUGUCCAGGAGAGAGAUUGAGAGAAUGGUGAAGGCGAAGAAUAUAUUCCACCACAAUGCUCGCUUUCCAAAUAACGAUUUGAAACUCAAGCUUCUACCAUUAAAUCCGUUGGUGUUCAAUGGAGAAUCGAACGCUUUAAGAUUUCCCGGAUCACGGUCAACAACUAUCAGUUCUACUGGUUUCCCUCUGAAUCUCUUUCUCCCAUUAUUGGAACCGUUAUUGAGAGAAGAGCAGCAUGAAGAAGAUGAAUAGAAAUUUGGAGAGCAAGGGAUAAGAAGAUGGCGUUUCGUGUAAUAGAUUGGGAAAAUGGUGGAAGAUUGGAGAGAAGAUGCAGUGGCGGAGCUGAAGGGCCGCUGCCACGGCGACGGCGUAGCCAUUUGUAGAAAUGAAGAUUUAAAACACAAUGGCGGUAGAGGGUCUUGCCACCACCACCUAAGACACAACCUAAGACGCAAGGGCUGUGGAUACUCUCAUGAAAAAUGAAAAAUGGGACAAAUCAUUCUCUGUAAUCAUCAACCAUUACUAGUAUAUUACUACAAACGCCCUAUUUUCAGAAAAUCUAUUUUUCUCAUUUAAAGUUCAUACUUUUAUUCUACUCUUA